rnacentral:rRNA from 1 species
AGAAUCAACGCUGGCGGCGUGCCUAACACAUGCAAGUCGAACGAGAAAGUGGUAGCAAUACCAUGAGUAAAGUGGCGCACGGGUGAGUAACACGUGACUAACCUACCCUUGAGUGGGGAUAACUGAGGGAAACCUUAGCUAAUACCGCAUAAUACCCACGGGUCAAAGGAGCAAUUCGCUCGAGGAGGGGGUCGCGGCCGGAUUAGUUAGUUGGCGGGGUAAUGGCCCACCAAGACGAUGAUCGGUA